GGGUGCGGGCCGGGAGGGCUCUCCCCGUGGGGUCGGUGUUGUAUCCCCGGGCCCCUCUCUAACCCUACAGUACGAACCCGGGGUUGCGCGGAGCUCCGGACGGGACCCGCCGGCUCCGGCCCGAGGGAAUGGGGGGGUUCGGGGAGAGUGUUUGUGUGUGUGUGUGUGUGUGUAUGUGUGUGUGUUGGGGGGGUUUGACUUGAUUUGAUUUUUUUUUUUGCAAAACAUUUUUUUUUUCCUUUUUUUCUCUUUCUUUUUCUUUCUUUGCAGCGUCUCGUCGGCGUUUCGGCAGCGCAGGACGGGGCCGCCGCUCACUGCAGGACGCACUUCUCCUCCCGCUUGGCCAUCUUGCCUUUGUUUUGCUCCAGGGUCCGCUCCAGGUGCUCGUCCUCCUCCUCGGCCCUGCGGGGACACCCGGGGGUGAGCGGGGGCACAGAGCCCGGCCCCCCCCCGCCUCUCACUCACUGCUUCUCCUGCGCGUCCAGGUCCCGCACCAGCGCGUCCCGCUUGUUCACCAGCAGCACCAGCUCGUCCAGCAGCAGCUGCUCCCUCCGCUUCUGCGCCUCCGUCUUCUGCCAGUCUGCGGGGCGGGACGGACACGGUCACGGCACGGCACGGCCCGGCGGGGCGCAGCCCGACCCGGUGCGGCACAGCCCGGCCCGGCCCGGCUCUGCCCUCCGGGACGCAGCCCGCAGCCCCUCCGCCACCCCGCCCGGCACAGCCCUCCGCCGCCCGCCUCGCCUUUCAUUCUUUUAACGACUUUUAGCGAUUAGCCCCGUGAUUUCUGUUCCCCGCGGGACUCCGCACCCGGAGCGUUCCCCCCGAAGGGGCUCCGCAGCCGUUCGCCGUUCCCGUCCCGGCCGUGCCCCGGGGCUGCCGCUGUCACUCACCGCGCGGCCAUCCCCGCCUCCCUCAUUAGGAAGCUCCCCAUUUUCAGCCGCGGUUGCGGCUUUGCAAACGGCGAACAUCGGGCGAACGUUUCAGCGUCGGCCUCGCUCGGCCCUACUCUUUUUUUCCUGCUCGGUCCCCUCUACGAGCUGCCCUUCUCGUUGCCCCGUGGGCUCAGCGACACCGCGUCAACGGAACGCAACGAUUUGUCCCGUGCUCUCUGCGUCCGCCCAUCUCCGGCGGACAAGACGCGCGGUGCGCCGCUUUUACUUCGUUUCCCGCAAAAGGAGACCCAUUUGUCCCCCUCUCGGGUAGCGAGUGGCAAAGAGAGGGGCCGGCGCGGAGCUGUAGGAUCACUUCCCCUACUGGAGUUAUCCGCAAGCUGGUUCUGCCCAACAGCAUCCCGCCAGCAGCCCCUUGGGGUCCCUCCCUGCAGUGUCGGGGUGCCCGGCAGGCCCCUACCUGUUGUGCCCGGGGGCCCUCGGUGCCGUAAGGGCUGAGCCCCACGCAGCCAUGGGAUGAAGCCCCAGGGUCAGCUCCACGCUCAGUGCCGACAGCUGUGGGCACCGCGCGGGCUAAAUAGACGGAGUUUGUGAAACUCGCGUCGGAGGAGAAACGCUUUCAGUUCUUCACUGACUUCGCGUUGCCUUUUUCCCCCCGCUGCUCGCAGCGAUAUAAUUACUUGGGGCAAACGGGCGGCCGGUUCCCAUAGAAAUGCUUUAAUGGAAGCGGGCAAAAGUUCUUGCGGGAAAACCUGCAGCCCCGGCGCCGCAGUAACGAAACUGGGCACUUUGAUGGAAAUUAACGGGAGUUUUGUAAGGAGCGCGUUGGGGGAUGGCAGGCAGCCCUUAUCUGCGGUUCCAGUCAACUAGCAAUCCUGAAAGAGUUUGCAUCAUCAUCAGAGCAGCCCGUUUGAUAGGAUUCUGUGCUGCGCCUAAUCAAUCUAUGGGAUACCGGGCUGUGCGGUGUAACAAAGCUAAAAUAGAUUUACAAAUGGGGUUUUAGAGGAUAAGCUCCUCCACAGGAUUACAUAUUGAUUUUAAAUAUAAAAAGCUUAUCAUAUAAACCAUAACUACAAAAAUAGUGAACCUAUGCAUAAAUCCUUUUAGAAGAGCACCCACUUCAAACUGGAAGCCAGGAAUAAAUCAAGAUGUACAAAACCCUAAAGAAGAUCCAUUUCUUGGGCAGAAAACGAACACCUCCCUCCCAAGGUGUGCAAAAACGAACGUAUCUCUCCUAAGGAGGCAUUAAAUCUCGAAUUAAAAAAGGAAAAGAAAGAAGGGAAAGGGGGUGGAGACGGCGCUGGGGCCGUGCGGUGCAGGAUGGCCCCACGUCCCCGGCCCCGCGUGGGCAGCAGCGUGUUGCCGAGCUGCCGGACAGCAGCGGGCUGCUCUCUGCUCCCCUUCCCAUCUCUGCAGCUCAAGGAGGUGGAUAAAAAGUCCGGCUUUUGUUUGGCGCUCUCGUGUUUCGUAGCAGCGCUGCAGCCGCUCACGCACCCCGCGGCCCCGUCCCGCAGCCGGCUCUGCUCGCAGCCUUCCCGGCCAUAAGCAGCGGGGUGAACUGCCUGGGGGACACAUCACCAGCACAGCCACGCGUGGAAGUUACAGCCAUUCACCCCGGCAGCGAUUGCCAUCUUUCAAGGAGUUCUUUUGAUUUAUUUUUUACGUUCCAACCCAGGUCGGCGUUCUGCCUCACAACUCCCUCUUUGAGACGCACGGCCCGGUUGGCCCUGGGCUGCGUUUUGUUUUCUCUCUGGCAUUUUGCUGUCGUUUUGUUAGGAGGGCUUCCCUCCUUCUGUAGACUUUGAGGUAGAAGCGGAGCGCUGCCAAAACUUCUGAUGGGAUAACCAUUUGUUUUACGGUGCGAAACGCUCAGCACAGACUUUGUUGCAUAAAUAAAAAUAAUACCCAAA